ACGGAACCAGGGUCUUCCUCCCGGGUCUCGAGGCGGCAGAUGGCAGAUUAUGGGAUCUAUCGGCCUUCCUGAUCCCCUUUCCCCUCACACACACAGCCUGCUGGUUUUGUUUCCCCGGAGAGCCCUGACCACUGUGCCAGAUGGAGGGAGAGAGGGGCCGACUUACAUGGCCGUGAGGGAUCCUGGCAGCGGGCUCUGAUCCACACUGACUCGAGGUAAAUGCAGAAGAUCCCCAGCCCCCUCCCUGCAGCUGGCACUACCCUUGGGGGCUCUGCCUCAGCACGCCCUCCACAUUCAGCACAGUAGCUCCUGACUUGAUGUGGGGAUGGCGUUUGCAAACAUUUCUGUUUGUUUCAAGCCAGAAAGCAGCAGUGGAGUGGGGUCCGUUUGCGGGGACUUCCACAGCAAAGCACCGCAGGCUGGACACUUACACAGCACUAUUCCCACCGCCCUGCAGGCUGGGAGUCCGGGGACAGGGCGCCGCAGGGCUGGCUCCUCCAGGGACCUCUGUGGCUGGUAGAUGCCGCCCUCUCCGUGUCCUCACAGGGGCGUCCCUCCGUGUGUCUGUCCUCACCUCCUCCUGUAAGGACACCUGGAUUAGGGCCUGUCCUUAUGACGUCAUUUCACCGAAGUCACCUUUUUAAUCCAGGGCCACAGUUCAGCCCUAACGAGGGAGCUCAGCUUUCAGGGGAACCUCCUCUUCUCUGGCUCUCCCACUGGCGGGCAGAAGCCGGGCGGGGCAUGGGGGGAUGUUUGUUGAGGUGCAACAAGAAAAACCUGCAGUUUCCCACAUUGCCAGGCUGAGAGCAGAGAUAACUGGGUUGUGGUCAGGUUUUCUAAAACGCUGCUUCUUAGGGGAUGGUUUUCCUCGGUCAGGUCACCCCCCACAGCCCUGGGCCCCGGGUGGAGAAUGUCCUCACGCCUGUGCCAACACAGGCUGCAAAGUGUAGGCAGAGCACGGGCAGGCUUGCACCAUUGAGAAUUUCACACAAGACCCUGUGGAGUGAAGUGCCGCUUCCGAGCCCCUCGGGGCAUUUGAGGAAGGCGCCAGUGGUCAGGAGGCUGGGGUGGUGUUAACUCAACCAGGCGCUGGCCAAGUGCUGGCCAUGGAGAGCAUUCUGGAUUGCGCCUGCCGGGAGCAGCUGGGCUAAGACUGUCUGGUUCCCAAGCACCCUGUCCUCAUGUGGGGGUCCUGCCAUCUCCAGGACCUGGCUCUCCUGGUGCCCUCAGCCCAGCCCACAUUUUAGAGCCAGCCCCCUCCUUAACCACCCUCUAUCUGUAUCAUCAGUCCAUUCUCCAAUUGCUGUAAAGAAAUACCUGAGACUCGGUAAUUUACAAAGAAAGGUAUAAUUGGCUCAUGGUUCCGCAGCCUCUACAGGAAGCGUGGAGGCUUCUGCUUCUGGGGAAGCCUCAGGAGGUUUCCAGUCAUGGCGAAAGGCAACGCGGCAGCAGGCAUCUCACAUGGUGGGAGAGGGAGAGAGAGCCGGAGGUGCCAACACGUUUCAACAGCCAGACCGGAUCCCAUCUGACUGGGAUUGACUCUGGAACAACGAGGUCUGGGUGCCUGGCUGCAGCUCGGCUGAGUCAUUGACCUCUCUCCGUGGCACAUUCUUCUGCUGGGGACCUGCACCCACCAACCGUUGGGCCAUGCACAGUGCCGGGUGGGAGGGGGCCUGGCCAGGGGCCGGGGCCAGGCCUGAGUGAGGACACACUGGAACUACUGGAAGGCUGGCCCCAGGGCUCCCAUCUUGCCGAGUUGAGAUCCCCCAAGAAGGAAAGGCACCCUGAUCUAGAGCUCCCACACUCACCAGCUGCGUGGGAUGGUGACAGGCCUCACCUCCGUGUGGGAGGGUGAAGGUGUUAGCUGCAGUAGAAGCCACUGGCUCUGGUAGGAAGGGGUGCACCGAGCGCUUCUCAGAGCCUCUAGAGGGCAAGGGGUAUCAUUGGGGGCCUCCCAGGAGGCCAAGGUCUACCCCAGGGACGGCCACAUAGAGCAAACAGAGAUACAGGAUGCCCAGUGACAUUCAAAUCUCAGAUCAGCGAGUCCUUCUGAGUGUAGGUAUAUCCCAUGCACUAUUUGGGGCGUACUUGUACUAAGAAAUGGCCUGGUGUUGAUCUGGGAUGCCAGGGCAGGUGGACAGCCUACUUUCUCUGGCAACUCUAUCUGCAGGGUCCCCCGUCCCCACCCCAAGCUCAGCUGGCUGGGAGCUCUUGUUAGGACAACCUCACAGAUGUCCCGUCCCAUGAAACACAGGCUGGGAAACCUGCUUGUGGCUCUUCUGGGGGUUCCUUCCUUCCUCACCCCAAAGGGCAGCCCCAAAGGUCCUCAGAGAAUGUGAGUUUCUGCUUGUAACUGUGGGCUGUUUCCACGGACAGGGUCCUGCAGGGUCCAGAGAGAAAGAAGAAAGGAAGAGGAUGAAGGGAGGAUGGGAGAAGGGAAAGAUGGAAGGAGAGAAGGAGAGAGA